rnacentral:rRNA from 1 species
GAUGAACGCUGGCGGCAUGCCUAAUACAUGCAAGUCGAACGAGAGGAAGGAAAGCUUGCUUUUCUGAAUCUAGUGGCGAACGGGUGAGUAACACGUAGGUAACCUGCCCAUGUGCCCGGGAUAACUUCUGGAAACGGAUGCUAAAACCGGAUAGGUAGCAGACAAGCAUCUGACUGCUAUUAAAGUGGCUAAGGCCAUGAACAUGGAUGGACCUGCAGUGCAUUAGCUAGUUGGUGAGGUAACGGCCCACCAAGGCGACGAUGCAUAGCCGGCCUGAGAGGGCGGACGGCCACAUUGGGACUGAGACACGGCCCAAACUCCUACGGGAGGCAGCAGUAGGGAAUUUUCGUCAAUGGGGGGAACCCUGAACGAGCAAUGCCGCGUGAGUGAGGAAGGUCUUCGGAUCGUAAAGCUCUGUUGUAAGAGGAAAACGACAUUCAUAGGGAAUGAUGAGUGAGUGAUGGUAUCUUACCAGAAAGUCACGGCUAACUACGUGCCAGCAGCCGCCGUAA